AUUCUCUGGAGAUCUUGUUAAAAUGCAGAUUCUGAUUCAGUAGGUCUGGGGUGGGAUUCUGCAUUUCUAACAAGCGCCCAGGGGAUGCGGU
rnacentral:pre_miRNA from 1 species